GAGAGUUUGAUCCCGGCUCAGAAUCAACGCUGGCGGCGCGCCUAACACAUGCAAGUCGCACGAGAAAGCUGGGGCAACCUGGUGAGUAAAGUGGCGCACGGGUGAGUAACACGUGGAUGAUCCACCCUCUGGUGGGGAAUAACCCUGGGAAACCGGGGCUAAUACCGCAUAAGCCCGAGAGGGGAAAGCAGCAAUGCGCCGGAGGAGGAGUCCGCGGCCGAUUAGCUAGUUGGUAGGGUAAUGGCCUACCAAGGCGAUGAUCGGUAGCCGGCCUGAGAGGGCACACGGCCACACUGGCACUGAAACACGGGCCAGACUCCUACGGGAGGCAGCAGUGGGG
rnacentral:rRNA from 1 species